AGUGAACGCUGGCGGCAUGCCUAACACAUGCAAGUCGAACGGCAGCACAGCAGUAGCAAUACUGUGGGUGGCGAGUGGCGGACGGGUGAGGAACACAUCGGAAUUUGCCCAGUCGUGGGGGAUAACGUAGGGAAACUUACGCUAAUACCGCAUACGACCUUACGGUGAAAGCGGGGGAUCGCAAGACCUCGCGCGGAUGGAUGAGCCGAUGUCGGAUUAGCUAGUUGGUGGGGUAAAGGCCUACCAAGGCGACGAUCCGUAGCUGGUCUGAGAGGAUGAUCAGCCACACUGGGACUGAGACACGGCCCAGACUCCUACGGGAGGCAGCAGUGGGGAAUAUUGGACAAUGGGGGGCAACCCUGAUCCAGCAAUGCCGCGUGUGUGAAGAAGGCCUUCGGGUUGUAAAGCACUUUUACUCCGGAACGAAACCGUGCGGGGUGAAUAGCCUCGUAAACUGACGGUACCGGAGGAAUAAGCCACCGGCUAACUUCGUG
rnacentral:rRNA from 1 species